rnacentral:lncRNA from 1 species
AGGCUGUCGGCAGUCGGCUUGGCGCUGACUUGUAGGACCCCGGGACCGGGCGCCUGGGCCAACUUGGGACCGCUGGGAGUGCAGAGGGGCCCCAGCGCCCGAGCCUUCCGGGAAUGGACGUGCGCGCCCUUGGGGCCGGCGCAUCAUCCACCGCCCACUAGCGUUGGCCCGCCCUGGGGAGAGGAGAAAAUGCCAGAGGCCGACACUUGACUGAUGGCGCUGCGGACCUCGCUGGUCUUGGGGACAAGGCGGCAGAUUUCCUUUAGAAAAACUUCCCUCUCGCGUCUCCCUGGCCCCGCGGCGACCGAAGAGUUGGGGUUCGGCUUUCUUCUCCUGGGAUUUAAGUGUUAUUUGAAACAGCUCCCUGCGCGGCCCUUUUCUCCUAAACUUUGACAGAAACUUCCCUUUGUCCCUACCAAUCCUCAGUGAGUUCUUUACAGGGGUCCGAGACAGGUUGUAGAUAUGAUGCGGCUUAUCGGCUUUACCCCGAUCCUAGCGGAGUUAGGACUUGCUGAUGUAAUUGGCCAGCACCUGCCUAACAAUGAAGGUUUAGUUAUGCUACAAGUAAUGCACCUCUAAAAAAACGUAAAACAGGCUUUACGUUUUACCUGCUAUCUCCACAGGUUUACUAGCUGCUUAAUACAAUAUGCUUGUAUAUCAAGGUGAGCAAAUUUCAGCAAAUGUCAUUGUAAAUAGUCCCAACUUAAAUGGAAUUGAACUCUGGAACUCAAUGUGCAUAGAAGUCCCUGAGACUGACGCCAUUCUAGAUCUACCACUAGAUGGUUUGCGAUGUACGGAAUUAAAGGCAGUCACUUCUACCUGAAUUGUGAUGAAAGUAGUUUACCUGAACAUGCUGGGAAAGUGUGCUACCCUGUUUUGUAUUAGAAACCAGUUUCCAAGUAAAUUGAAAAGCAAAUUUUCAGACUUGACAUUAAAAACACCUCCAUGUCAUUCUUACAAGAGGUACAAAAGCAUUUUAGAAAACUAAAGCCAGGAGUUUCUUCCCUUUUACCAGAAUCUUUUCCCUCCAUUUAACAAUAGUACUGUUGUGCUAAAUGAAAUUUACUUAAUGUAUUACUCUUACAGUCUCAAAACAAUAAGGGCAUUGCAAACCUUGUAUUAUCUCUAUCGUGUCAAGGAAACAAAACGGUUCAUUUAAGCAGUCAUGCAAAAAAUUCAAGAAAAACUGAUUUUGCUCAAUUCAACUAAUUGAAGCAAAGUAGUUUUUCUUGUUGUUUUAAUCUGCAUUUUGUACAUCAUUUCCACAUUGCUGGACCAGCAAAAUUCUGACCUCUGCAAUACAAUAAAAUGUGUUACUGGUAUUGACAGAUGAAGCCACAAAUAGAAAAUGAGCAUGGAAAUCCUACCUGGACUGAGGUAUCAAAGGAUACCAAGAGAUACUAGAGACAACAAGGAACCUGGAAAAAGAUAGUGUUCCAACCUGUAAAUAAGAAAACAGAGAAGGAGGUUCAUUAAUAUUUAAGAUACCAGCUAGUAAAUUAAAACAGCAAUGUAGUUGUCUGGCUUGAGUAUUCAGUUUUAUUUACUACAUCUUUUUAUCUUUUCUAGAAGCAAGGCAUUAAGUGUUGACACUUGAGUAUUGAACCAAUCUGUGAUAUGACAUGAAUAUGCCUUUAACUUUCAGAAGUUUGUCUACAGACUUACAAGGAAACCAAAAGUAGUCGCUCUUCCAAUGGCUUCCUAAUUUUCUCAGCCUGAGUCUUUUCUGCAACCUAAAAAUCCUAUGCUAGCUGGCCUCCCAAGUCCUACCUCACCUCCACCCCUCUGACCUCAUUUCUGCUAAGCACUUUGUUCCAGUUACACAGACCUGCUCCCUGCUUCUGUAACACCAAGGCAUCUUCUUGCCCUGAGGCCCUUACACUGUGUAUAGUUUCUAUCUGCAAAGAUCUUUCCACCAAAUACCUGCAUGGCUAGAUCUUCCACUUCUGUCCAAUCUUUGCUUAAAAGUCAUCUUUUUUCAAAGAAGCCUACCCUAAUCAUCUCAUUUAAAAUAUUGCCCCUUCCCCAGAAUCCUCCCUUCCUUGCUUCUGUUUUUUUCAUAGUACUUACCUUCUAACCUUCUAACAUCGUCAUUUUCUAUUUUUAUUUUCUAUUGCCUUCCCUCCGCUAGAAUGUAAGCUCCACAAGAUCGGGGAUUUUUUUUUUUUCAUUUUGUUCAAUGUUUCCUUAGUACCUAAAAUACUAGAAUAGUAGAUGGCACAGAGUAGAUGCUCAAUAAAUAUUUCUUAAGUGAAUAAAUGAAUGGGUGAAUCAUUGCCUAAAAGACACUAAAAGGAAAAGACCUAAUUAAAACUAUUUAAAAACAAAAUCCUUGGUGUUGAAAGAUUAAAUUAUUUAAAAGUUGGCCAUUGUGUGUUCUCUUGUCUUCCAAUUAAUAGGAACAUCACUUCUGCCACUGGAAUGUUGAAGUGUAUGACAAUUGUUACUUCCACUAGAAUGCUACAGAAAAGUUUAGGACAAAAUUGUGAGCUAUGCCUUUUCCUUCACCUUUUUUCUUUUCCUUUUUUUAAAUUUGUUGUAGAGAUGUGUUCUCACUAUGUUGCCAGACUAGUCUCUGGACUCCUGGCCUCAAAGAUCCUCAGGCUUUGACCUCCCAAAGUGCUGGGAUUGCAGGAAUGAGCCACCACACCUGGCCUCCUUCACUUUCUUAAAUACAUCUUGGGCAUGAGUCAAAGUUAAUUUCCUAGGAAGGGAAGCAACAAAGCGAAUAAGGUAUACUAUUUAAGAGACUUACGGAAAUUAAGGAGUUAUAUAGUUGGAAAAGAGAAUGCUUAUAGAAACAGCUAGCUUAAAAAAAAAAAGCACCUAAUUUGAUACAGAUUCCAUGUCUUAAAAACAUCCUAUUCAUAUCAGUUGUUACAGAGGAAACCUGGGACAGGGUGAUCUGAGAUGCCUGGUUCUUUGGCUAUCAGAAAUUAAAACAAAGCAAGCUAUCGUAAGGGAUGCAUCUGUGACUGUUACUGCAAAAGGUUUGAUUCCUCAGCAGCAGUGUCCAGUCUGUCUGAUUAACACAGGAAAGCAUGACAAAAAGAGGUAAGAGGCAAAAGUCAAGUGUGUUUUUUGAGACGGAGUCUCGCUCUGUCACCGAGGCUGGAGUGCAGUGGCGCUCUCUGCUCACUGCAAGCUCCGCCUCCCGAGUUCACGCCAUUCUCCUGCCUCAGCCUCCCGAGUAGCUGGGACUACAGGCGCCUGCCACCAUGCCCGGCUAAUUUUUUUUAUUUUUAUUUUUUUAUUUUUAGUAGAGACAGGGUUUCGCCAUGUUAGCCAGGAUGGUCUCCGUCUCCUAACCUUGUGAUCCGCCCGCCUCCACCUCCCAAAGUGCUGGGAUUACAGGCGUGAGCCACCGCGCCCGGCCGUAAGAUGCUUUUAAACAAGCCACUGCCAGUGAUUUCUAAACCUACAAGCAAAAAUUCGGAAUAUCCAAGUUGCCUGUUUUUUAGUUUUGAAACAAAAACAAUUUCUUCUACAUAUUCAGGUUGUCACAAAUUGGCUCUAAUUGCUUUUUGAGAAGCAGGAAAAGUAUGCCUUUAACCUCCUAGGCAAAUUGCAUCUAGCAAACAGUUGUGUCAUUUAAUCUUUUGAUGUCUUAAAGCAUUCUAUUAACUCCAGUUUCUUCAUAAUGCAAUAUUGUCAGUGUCAUCUACCAUCUCUACUGAACAUUAAAUACUAUAUACUCAUUAACAAGGAUUGGUGUCAAAACCUGCAAAUUGGUAUUGAAAUCAUGCAUUGACAACAGAGGAGACAUCCUAAGAACAGAUAAGAGUUGGAUAUCCCGAUUCUUUUUUACAGCUUUAAUAGGGCAGUAGUAAGCAGAAAUCUCAGAGCAUUUAAGAGUACUCUGAAGUCUAGCCCAGCAUGUACUUUUUUCUUGCAUGAUUCUUUUUGAGGCAAUGUUGAGCCAACUCAAGACAGAAAGACAGAAGCAGAAAUAAUAUGAGGCUUUACUAACAAAUGCAGCCAUAACAAAAUAAUAAUGUACACAAAUGCUUUCAAUAUUAGCUCCACAAUGCAAAGAUCUAAAUAGAAAGAACCACAUUAUAAAUUUGUAAAAGUCUAUAAAAUAAUUAAGAGGUAUUACUACAUCAAUGACACCUCAGUCAAUCAUUUUGAAAACAAAAAUUUAGAGCACUUUUCAAACAUUUAAUUCUUAAUUAUGGAUACUGUUUUUCAGUAUCUAUUAUGGGCCAGGCACUGGUGGUAGACAUUUUGCAUGUAUUAUAUUUAACAUUUGAAAAAGACCAUUACAGUAGAUCACUACCCUUAGAGGCCACUAGAGGUUUAGUAAUUUGCACCACAUUACCUAUCAAGGAUUCAUACUAUCAACAUGAUUUAUCACUGGUGAUGUUGACCUUUAUCACCUGAAUGAGAUAGUGUUUGUCAAGUUUCUCCACUGUAAAGUUACCAUUUUCCCCCGUUCUAUGCUAUCCUCCUUGGAUGGAAAUCACUAUGUGCAGCCCACACUUAAAGAGUGGGGAUUUCUGCUUCUCCUUUUGCUGGUGGAAUAUGUAGAUAAAUUAUGUGGCAUUUUUUUUUUGCAUGGGAGAUUUGUCUUUUCUCCCUUUUUAUUUAAUCAUUUAUGUAUAUGAGUAUGGACAUAUAAAUAUUUGUUUUAUACUUUGAGUUAUAAUCUAAUACUACUUUGUUGUUCAAAUUGUCCCAGCUUUGGCCACUGGAGCUCUCUUAGUUGUCCUAUUUCCUUUUAAUAUACUCCCAUCAAUGUGGUAUGGUUUUUUGUUUGGUUAGUUUUGUUUUUAAGCACAUGGUUACUUUCUAGUACUAUAAGAUGCUCUGGGGUCAUCAUGCCCCAGGCCUAGAAUUAGCCAUAUCUUUCAGAAAUCUUGGUUUCUUUUAUUGGAGAAUGGUGUCAGAAACCAAAAUCUGGGCUCAAGAAGUGCUGUUUGCUGCUUCAGUGUCAAUUCUUUUAAGACCUCGUAGCUGACACAGCAAGGAAUUAAAUACUUGUAUAUUAACCCAUGUAUAUAUGCCUAUGUAUAAAUAUUUCUGCAUGUAAUCAUCUGUAUUUAUAUUAAGCUAAAUGUGAAUUCAUACUGGUAUCUCCAACUCUAAUCCAUUAUCAGAUGGAUCAUUCUAGUCUCUUCCCCUAGCUUAUCUGUAUGUAAUUUCCACUUCAACAGUGAGAAACUGACACCUAACAUCUACCAUCCAUUUACUUAAUUGUUCAGUUUGAAAAUACAUAUAUGGCAAUUUCAGAAUUGUUAACCCAUACUCCCAUUGGAAACAAAUUUAUCAACUAGAGUACAUUGCCUACAUGCAGUCCCUUCAGUCUUAUAGACAAAUCAUUCCUAAAGUCACUUAGUUCAGCACCUUUUCUCCCAACCCUUUCAUUGAGGUUGUUUCAUAUGUUUGCAAUACAUUUAAAUUCUCUUGUCAAAGUCAGCAUUCUUUCCUGAGAUCUGCCUACCUCCUAAAUGAUUUGAUUUUUAAUUUGCAUACAUUUUCACUCUUUGUGCUGCAAAGUUCUGCAAGUUCUGACAAAUGCAUUAUGUCAGGUCUCCACUUUAUAGUAUCAUACAGAAUAGUUUCAUAGCCCUAAAACAUAAAGGAAAAGAGAAGUACAUAACAAAAUUGCCUUUACAUAUUUAUCUGUAGACCCAAACAACUGAUCAUUGUAUUGAAUAAACUUCACUUGAAUCAUAGAGAUAUUUAUAUUGAUAUAUAAUAUGUAAUCGAUUUCUCUAUAAUACCUAAUUACCUAAUACUUGUUAAAGUCUUACCAUAUGCUAGUAGCUGUUCUAAGUGCUUCACAAUAAUCCUAUAAGAUAGAAACUGUUAUUUCCAUUUUACAAAUGAGUAAACUGAGGCUCAG